GUGGGAGCUGGGAAAGCUGGAAGAUGGAAAAGCUGGGAGCAGGGAAAGGUGGGAGCAGGGAAAGGUGGGAAAGGUGGGAGCUGGGAAAGCUGGAAGAUGGAGAAGCAGCCGUGGGUGUGCCUGGGUCACCCCACGGAGCUCCAGGGCUGCCGUGGCCAUUCCAGGAGCAGCAGAUCCGGGCUGGGAGGAGCAGGGAAGGACGAAGGACAGAGACGUGCCCUGGAAGGGGAGGCACAGCCGGGGAUCCGCGGGGAGUUGGUUAUUUAUAACCGCAGCCCUCGCCGCGCUGCAGGAGAGGCUCGGCAGGAGAAGCCGGGAUGGGCCGGGGAUUCCUCGGGAUGAAAGGAGCUGGGAAACGGCGGCCAGGAGGGGCUGGCAGGGUGGGGACUGCCAUUGUCACCCCCCGGCUGUGCCCCCUGCCCUGCCCAGCCCUGCUGCAGGUCCCUCUUCACACAUCCCACCCGUGUCCUGGCGCUCGGGGGAGAGGCGUGGGAUGGAAUUCUUUGUCCCCUCUGGCAAAGCACGGAGAAGGGUGAAAUGAAGGUGGGAAGAGAAGUGUGGAUUCACCGUGGAUAUCUCCCAAGGCUGAAUGGCUGCUGGGACACCAGGAAGGGCUCCCCAGCCCCUUUUCCUCCCCCGCUGGGAGCGCCAGCCUGGAGCUGGGAUUGGGAACAAACACCUCGUGCCCACUGAUCCCCCACUCUCCCAGACUCCCGAUCUUCCCAAAGCCGGGAACCUCCCUGGAGCUCUGUUCCCAGCAGGGAACACCCUGCCCAGCUCCCCUGGCUGCUGGGGACACUCCGAGCCCUCAGGGCCAGCCCGGCAGCCGGCCAAGGGCUUUUUAUCAACUGGCACCCAAAAGUCAAUCAGGAAGAUGCCGCCUGUUUUAAUUAACAGCAAUUUCGCUCCGCCGGGGGUGAGCCACGUGCAGGGGGGAGGGAGGGAGGCCGGAGACAAAACAUGACCUUGUUGGUGCAGCUCACA